UGGUGCGCAUGCACCGAUCCCAGCACCUGUCGGUUUGAUUGCGCAGGUGCCAGUACCCAGCUGAUGGGCUGACAGUCUACUCUCCUCCUCUCUGGGCAGGCAAGGGUAGCAGCAGCCCCCCUACUACCGCCAGGUCCACUCUCAGACAGAAAUCACAUGUGUACAUUAGUGAGUAACCUAUCACCAUCAGUGCUAGGCUGCCAGUAGCACACCAUAGGAUGUAAUGGAGAAUGGAGACACCACUGAACCACACUGGACAGAGUCUGAGGGCAGUUUAGAGGAAGUGGAUGGGAAGAGUUUUCUGGCAUACAUGAUUCCCCUGUUUGUGGCAAUAUCUCUGUGGAAGAAGAAAGUAUUAACACAGGAUGGAAGAUCAGAAGAAAACGAGCAGCGGAUCAGAUCGUUCAGGAACACUGGACAAUAUGUACUUUUCUGAACAAUUUAUUGUUAAGAUGCGUCCAAAUCAUUCCAUGUUCCCUAAAACCGUUGUAGUGUGAGGGUACCUUAAGAGUUGGUGAAAACAUGCAAUACGUAAACUAGUGGGAUAACAGUUGUAGCUGUUGAUAUGAAUAAAUGUUUAUGGA